GGGACACUACUUCGGCCUGGCGAACUAUCUCUUAGAUGCUGCAAGCAACAGGCGACUUUGAAAAUCCCAGGAGUUUACCAACAGUGAGCGAAUUGUGGAAGUCCUUCAACAUCAGAUAUGCCAUCAACAACAUUGAUGAAUCAUGGAAAAAGGUCAGGUCUUCCACUCUCAAUAGAGUGUGUAAAUCAAUUUGGGCGGAGUGUGUGCACACCCUCAAAGGAUUUCCUGCCUUCACUGCAGUUAUCCAGGAUUGUGUGACCCUGAGCGGUAAAAUUGGUGGGGAAGGAUUCUCAGAUCUCGAGAUUACUGACGUGGCAGAACUCCUGGAUACUCAUGAUGAAGAAUUAAGUGCGGAUGACUUUCUUCAUUUAACUCAGACUGAAGGCGAUAACAAUGAAGAGGAAAGUGUCGAGUUGCAGGUGAAGAACUUUACGGUGAAGCAACUGGCAGUAUUUUUUAAGGCUGCGGAACACUUGGCACAAAUGGCAAUGGACAUGGACCCAAGUUUAGAACGGAGUCAGCAUUUCAGUCAAUCCUUCUUCCCUACAAGCAAACUUAUGCUGAAAAACAAAAUGCUGCCAAGCAAACAACCCUCAGCACCUUCUUCAAACCGGUGUCAUCUCCUGCUGCCGGCAGUACUAAGCAUUCUGUGAGUCUUCUUUCACCCCUUGCUGUCCUUGAUGAUCCUGACGACCCACAACCAUCCACCUUAUCCAUGUAAAGCUGCCCGACACCACAACAAUCACUCAUCUCGAGCCAACAUACCUGCCACUGUUGAAACAGCAAUGAAGAGUCCUUCUACAUCUGAAUGCAAUGGUAUUCCUGAUUCUCCACCCCGGACUUGCAUGACUGACAGUAGAGAAAACGAAGUGACUGACAUGAUGAAGGAAGUCCUGAACACCACCAGAGAUGAAGGACAUUCAUUGCUGCCCUAAAUGCCAGCGGUGUGCCAGACAGAUAGCUGGAAACGUAUAAGGAUAUUUGAUCAACAGCAGCACUCAAAAACUGCGGCUCUGUGCAGUGCUGUGUUACCGUUCCUGGAGCUCACUGAUCAGCCGUGUUUCAGUAUGCCCAGGUGUAGCCUAAAAUCAGGCGACCUCUGAGCCUUGCAUGGCCCUGUGGAUAUAAAUUCUCACCAGUGUCACGAACUGAAGCGUAAAGGGGAUACACACAUCAAGUGAAAGUGGCUGUCAGAGAGCUCAGCACUUGGGAUCGAUCGCUCUCUCUUUCUCGAGAUGGUGAGGGGUCUGCUGCCGAUUCUCAAGUCUGGAAUCUUAAAAUAAGAGACAAUGCUUCAGACCAGACUGACCAUAACAUCAAAGUAGUGACUGCUUGUCUCCCGUCUCGCUGUGAAAUGAGCGUUAUGUCUCUCCAUUGUUAGAGAGAGAGAGAGAGAGAGAGAGAGAGCCUGUGGGAUGCCAAAAUUUUGGAGUGAACGGUUAGUUUUUGAGGUACUGUAGACCAUGGUCUCUCCCUGGGGUCUUUGCUAUUAUUUGCAUGCUGGAAACACUGAUGCUUUACACCAGAAUAAACAUGUCAGCAGAGUUGAUUAAAUGUAAUUAGAGUCUCAUUGCUGAGUGUAUCCUCAGAAAAGUCUCAAUAUUAUUUCUUCAGCCUACCACAGACUUGAAAAGAUAUCACUGCUGGGUAUUCAUCUGGUCCUUUGAUCUGUCUGCUUCAAGCAUCCAGCUCUCAGAUGUAUACAGAUGGCCAGGGAUCACUGCAUUCCAGCAGAUGAGGACUUCUGUCCCAGCUAUGAUCUUCAAACACACUUUCUCAGAUGACUAAAGGCAAUGCUGGUCCGCUGAAGGGAAGCUGGGUUUUCGCAUUCAUUUAGCUUUUCUAAGAAUUGGAUCAUAAGAUGCGGGAAUUGAUCCACAUUUUCCAUGGCCUCAUUGUCAGAAAUGAUUCUACAUCCUAUGGACUCACUUUCAUGAACUCUACAAACUCAUGUUCUCAGUAUUAUACUUUAAUGCUUCUUUUUUGUAUUUGCACGGAGUCUUUUGCACAUUAUUGUUUAUUGAUUAUGUUGUAUUUGUUUGCUCCACCUUGAAAGGCUGCAAGAAAAUAACCUCAGGAUAGUAUACAGUGACAUAUACAUACUUUAAUAAUAGAUUUAUUUUGAAGUUAGUAUUGUACAGUAGGAGCAAGUUGGUACGAAAGUUUUGUUUGUGGAUCUUAAAAGGUAGCCCAUUCUCUCAUCUUUCAAGGAAAUAUUUUGCUCAGCCUCAUCACAACUCCUGACCAACAAGAAACAAGAAAAAUCCAACAGAAAUGUGGGAAGCUGCAACAACAUGUAGCGAUUAGCAUUACAGUUUACAGUGCCACCGAUCACAAUGAGGGUUCAAUUCCCAUGGCUCUCUGUAACAAGUCUGCAUGCUCCCCCCCCCCACCCCCCAUGACCACGUGGGUUUGCUCGGGUGCUCCAGUUUCCAAAGACAGACAAGUUACGGUCAGUAAGUUGUAGGCAUGCUGUCUUGGCACAGGAAGCAAAGCAACAUUUGCAGAUGCGCCCAGCACAUCCUCAGACUGUCGUUGAUGCAAAUGGCACAUUUCUUUGUAUAUUUAAUAAUAAGAAUUAAAAAAUACAUUUAGCAAUAAUAAUAUAUGAACUAAUAAUAUAUACAAUAAUUAACCAAUGUGCAUAACGUGCAAUAGUAAUGCACAAAAUAAUAAAACAGAGACUGAUGUACUAUGAUGUGUGUUCCCCUGUCACACAAAGAUGAACUGUUGUAUAUGCUUAUUGCAUUUGGUAGGAAAGAUUUUCUGUAACCAUCCUUGUGACAGGGGAGCUGAAUGAGCCUGAUUGAAAGGGUGGUCUGUUCCUUUAUUCAGUAGGUCGUGGAGGGGGUGUGCCAGACUUUCCAUGAUGGAUAACAGUUUGUUUAGUGACCUCUCCAACACUAACUCAAGAGUCUGGUUUGGAGCCAGGGACGGAUCCAGCCUUUCUGAUGAGUUUACUUGGUCUUUCUGCACCACCAGCAUCGAGCUACUCCCCCAAUAUAAAGCAGCAAAGAAGGCUGCAUUCACUACAACAGACUUGUAAAAGAUCUCCAGCAUUCAGGAGCAGAUGAUUCCUCCCUCACCACUCCACAAACUUGUCCACCAGUUCUCCCGACUUUUACUACUGACCAUCUCUGAUACACUAACCACUAUGGGGUCAUCAGAGAACUUCUGCAAGUGACGAGACUCAGAUUUGUACUGAAAGUCUGAGGUGUACAGUGUGAACAGAAACGGAGACAGGACAGUCCCGCGUGGUGCUCCACUGUCACUCACCACCAUCUCAGACAGAGAACUACCCAGCCAUGCAAACUGGGGUCUAUCUGUCAGGUAGUCAGUAAUCCAGGAGAUAGUGGAUUUGUCUACAACCAUCCUCUGCAGCUUCCCACUCAGAAGAAUUGGUUGGAUUGUAUUGAAGGCAAUAGAGAGAUCAAAAAAUGUGAUUCUCACAAUGCCACCAGCAUCAUCCAGGUAGGAGUGAGCUCUCCGCAACAAGUAGAUGAUGGCAUCAUCCACUCCCACAUGAGGUUGAUAGGCAAACUCAAAGACAGUCCAAUGAAGACCUUACCUGUGGUCCAAGGUAAGUCAGGACCAGCAUGCACAUGUGACAAAUAAAGCUAAUGUUUUUUUUCUUUUAAAAACAAGCAUGCAUAGUGCUUUGGCUUUGUCACUCAAGGGGAAAUAUGGAGCAACCCCCUCAAAUUUGGCUGCCUGCAGGAAUUUUCUGCAACUUACCGCAGCGGCUUCUCUGAGGGCAACAAAAGGUGCUACCGUUGUACUUAAGUGUAUGUCUGAUGAUUGCAAAAUCCUGUUAUACAUUAAGAACUCAAAGGACUGCAGGUCUACACCAUCGGCAACUUGCUCGCUGGCAGAUAAUGAAGGAGAUGUGCAAUGUGCUGCUGCCUGAGUCGACGGAGGGUUACAGUUAAAUGGCGAGUGCCUGUCAUUGUUGCUUUUCUUGCGAUCGCAAAGACCCCUUUGGACAAACAAGUUUGAUUCGCUGAUUUACUGGAUGCGAGCAGAGGCAGAUGGAGAGGGCAGGGUCCUCGCUUGCAGCCACCCAGAUUGAGGGGAUAAAGCCGUUGCACUUCACUGGGCGUGGUGUGGCACAGUGCCCAGAACAGAAUCGGAGCUGCCUUCCCAGGGUGUUGCUUGGCAGAAGACAAACACUGUUGUAGCUGACUGCAGAUUUCUUAGCAGCACCCAAUGGACCUGGACCUCAGCCUGUGGUGUCACUUGCUUUUCAGUUGCUGAAAGUGAGGCCUUCAAGCCAUCGCACUCUGCCGAGGGCUGCGACGUGCGUGGGGGGGGGGGGGGUGGGCCUCGGGACCCUUAUUACAUAAUUGUGAUUUUGUGUGUGACUGUCGGUAAUGUGUAUUUGCAUCUUGACCCCAGAGUAAUGCUGUUUCGUUUAUCUAUAUUCAUACACUAAUAGGGCUGCACUUGGGAGUAUUGUCUACGGUUUUAGGUCCCAUAUCUCAGAAAGGAGAGAGUCCAGAGGAGGUUCACAAGGAUGAUUCCAGGAAUAAUGAAAGGGUUAACAUACAAGAAGCAAUUGGCAGCUUCUCACUGUACUCACCAGAAUUUUGAAGAAUGCGGGGUUGGGGGAUCUUAGUGAAACCUACCAAAUGUUAAAAGUACUAGAUAGGAUAGAUAUUGAGAGGAUGUUUCCUAUGGUUGGGGUAUCCAGAGCUAGAGGGCACAGCCUCAAAAUUAGAACAGAGGUAAGGAGGAAAAUUUUUAGCCAGAGAGUAGCAAAUCUGUGAAAUGUUCUGCCCCAGACUGUGGUGGAGGCCAAGGGUAUAUUUAAGGCAGAAGUUAUUCGUUUCCUGAUCAGUCAGGAUAUCAAGGGAUAUGGCGAGAAGGUGGGGUGUAUGGGGUUGAGUGAGAUCCGAGAUUGGCCAUGAUGGAAUGGUGGAGCAGACUUGGUGGGCUGAAUGGCCUAAUUCUGCUCCUUGGUAUUAUAGUCUUCUGAGUAUUCAUAUAUGGUAAAAUGACCAUUAAACUGAAUUGAGUUUAAUUAGUGAUAGCAUGUAAACUGUGACCCUAACCAAAGCUUCCACGAGACCCAAUCUUGGUGCAGGUUAUAGUCAGCCAAGCUGCAUCAUUGCUCCAUGACAUUUUUCAAUCUCUCUAGCAGCACUGAUGCAUCUUACCUCCAACAACCUUCCCAGCUAAUGGAGCUUAUUUACAGGACUAAUAGGUAACUGUUCAACUCAGGUUACCUCUAUUCCAAGAUCAUUAAAAGAUGGCGCCAAUUGUUUUUGAAGACCUAGAUUACUAGUUCCAGUUCAUCUGCAAAACAGCUUAU